rnacentral:rRNA from 1 species
CUUCUACACCCAAUCUUAUCCUUUAAUCCAACAUCGAGGUCGCAAUCUUCCUUGUCGAUUAGAACUCUCAAAGAAAAUUACGCUGUUAUCCCUAAGGUAACUUAAUCUUUCAAUCACUAUUAAUGGAUCAAUAUUUCAUACAUCAAUGGUAAAAAUUUUAAAGAGUUCAUCAAAUCUUUAUAUCACCCCAACAAAAUAAAUUUUAAUAUAAAUUAAAUUAUACACCUAAAAUAAAAUUAUUUUCAUUUAUAAAGCUCUAUAGGGKCUUCUCGUCCUCCAAUUACAUUUAAGCUUUUUGACUCAAAAAUUAAAUUCUACUUAUUAAAUUGUAGACAGUUAAUACCUCGUUAAACCAUUCAUUCCAGCCUCCAAUUAAAAGACUAAUGAUUAUGCUACCUUUGUACAGUCAAAAUACUGCAGCCCUUCAAUUUAUAAUCAGGGGGCAGGGCUGACCUUAUAUUAUUCUCAAAAGAACAUGUUUUUGUUAAAC